rnacentral:tRNA from 2 species
GCAGGAAUGGCUCAGUGGUAGAGCGCGACCUUGCCAAGGUCGAUGUCGCGGGUUCGAUCCCCGUUUCCUGCU